rnacentral:tRNA from 1 species
AUUGUAGCUCAGUGGCAGAGUGCUUGCCUAGUAUGUGUGAGGCCCUGGGUUCAAUCCUUAGCACCAUA